rnacentral:rRNA from 1 species
GUGGUCGAAGGAGCUCCGCCUCAGGUACGUGCCAGCGGCCGCGGUACACGUAGGGUGCGAGCGGUCUCCGGAAAUUUACUGGGUGUAAAGAGCGGGAAGGUGGUUUGUCGCGUCGUCUGUGAAAUUCCAGGGGCUUAACUCCGGGCGUGCAGGCGAUACGGGCAUAACUUGAGUGCUGUAGGGGAGACUGGAAUUUCUGGAGUAGCGGUGAAUUGCGCAGAUAUCAGGAGGAACACCGAUGGCGAAGGCAGGUCUCUGGGCAGUAACUGACGAUGAGGAGCGAAAGCAUGGGUAGCGAACAGGAUUAGAUACCCUGGUAGUCCAUGCCGUAAAAGGUGGGCGCUAGGUGUGGGGGUCUUCCACGACUUCUGUGCCGUAAUUGACGCAUCAAGCGCCCCGCCUGGGGAGUACGGCCGCAAGGCUAAAACUCAAAGGAAUUGACGGGGGCAUCCACUAGCGGCGGAGCAUGUGGAUUAAUUCGAUGCAACGCGAAGAACCUUACCUGGGCUUGGCAUAUGCCGGAUCGGCGCAGAGAUGCGUUUUCCCUUGUGGUCGGUAAUGGGGUGGUGCAUUGUUGUCGUCAGCUCGUGUCGUGAGAUGUUGGGUUAAGUCCCGCAGCGAGCGCUACCCGUGUCUUGUGUUGCCAGCACGUUAUGGUGGGGACUCGCGAGAGACUGCCAACCUUAACUCGGAGGAAGGUGGGGAUGACGUCAAAUCAACAUGCCCCUUAUGUCCAGGGCUUCACACAUGCUACAAUGGUCGGUACAGUGGGUUGCUACACCGUGAGGUGGUGCUAAUCUCUUAGGGCCGGUCUCAGUUCGGAUUGGAGUCUGCAACUCGACUCCAUGAAGUCGGUGAAUACGUUCCCGGGCCCUGUACACACCGC